GCUUGCUAGAAACUUUAAUGAGCCAGCGUUCCUUCGUGACCUGGCCCCUGUAAAUUGGUAUAGAAUCAGCUUGAAGCUAGGGUUAGGGUGGAACCAGGAUGUGGACAUGGAGCUAGGGUUAGGGUGGAACCAGGAUGUGGACAUGAGGCUAGGGUUAGUGUUGAACCAGGAUGUGGACAUGAAGUUAGGGUGGAACCAACUAGGGUGGUGGUUAAGGGUUAGGGUGGUGGUUAAGGGUUAGGGUGGAACCAACUAGGGUGGUAGUUAAGGGCUAGGGUGGUGGUUAAGGGUUAGGGUUAGGGUGGUGGUUAAGGGUUAGGGUGGUGGUUAAGGGUUAGGGUUAGGGUGGUGGUUAAGGGUUAGGGUGGUGGUUAAGGGUUAGGGUGGUGGUUAAGGUUUAGGGUGGUGGUUAAGGGUUAGGGUGGUGGUUAAGGGUUAGGGUGGUGGUUAUGGGUUAGGGUUAGGGUGGUGAAUAAGGGUUAGGGUGGUGGUUAAGGGUUAGGGUGCUGGUUAAGGGUUAGGGUUGUGGUUAAGGGUUAGGGUUAGGGUGGUGGUUAAGGUUAGGAGUGGUGAUUAAGGGUUAGGGUGGUGGUUAAGGGUUAGGGUGGUGGUUAAGGGUUAGGGUGGUGGUUAAGGGUUAGGG
ensembl:lncRNA